UUGUAUUUGUGCGCAUGCGCGACCGGUACUGGGCGGAUCCGGUAAUUUCUACUUUCACUUUUUGAAAAAAAUCUCCUAUGUGGAGAUAGAUUUGUACGCUUUUAUUUACAUUUAUCUGCGAAAGAAAAUACACGUCGUGCUCAGUUGUUGAAGUGGCUUUCUUCCCAGUACUUCAGAGCACACAUAACGUCUAAAACGUAAAAAAAAACAUGUGAAAGAAAUACCAAACAACAUUUUGCAGGGAUUUAGAGGUCAUUAGUGAAAAAGGAAGAAAGGAAAUGGGUACAUCUAAUUUUAAAUGAAAUAACAAGAAUAGUUGAAUAAUUAACAACCAAGCAGCACUCAGCAAUAGUGAUGAAAAGUGAAAAAAGAUUUUUGAUAGAUAGAAAAUAGGAGAAAAGGAAAAGGUUAAACAAGAUUUAGUGCCUGCCACACAAUUAAGAAAGAAUUAGAGGCAAGAAUGUUUACAGAACAGAGGAGAUUAUUUGUACUGCACUUAGAUUUGUGUUUUAGUUAUAUUCAAUUAGUAUUAAAGAGUUAUGUACAAAAAAUCCUGUUAUAUUAUGUUCUUUUAAAAAUACUUUAUGUCAAUUCUCCUUCUCAUGCUUGGGGUUCUUUGGUAACAUGGGAUACUCUUAGUAAAGUGACAAAUGCAUAUCUUUUUUAACCUUUUUCUAACAUGUGUAUCUGUAACAACUAGUAAAUUCAGAAGCAGUUUUAAUAUACCUUUAUACUUGAUAACCCUUAAACGUAAUGUAGCUCCUAGGAAAGUUAGUGUUUAGUAUUCCUUUUAUAGGGGAGUCAUAUUCAGUGCCAAACAAUUAUUAUUGAAGGAGCUAUUCCCCUUGGAAAUAUAAAUUAUACGAAAAAUUGCAUGGAAAGCCUUUUCAAAUCUACAUCUUUCAUAGGAUUGCUACGAAAUUUAUAUUGAAGGUUUAUCUUAGCAAGUAUUAGGGUUAGAUUGAAAUUCAUU